GAUGAACGCUGGCGGCGUGCCUAAUACAUGCAAGUCGAGCGAACGGACGAGAAGCUUGCUUUUCUGAUGUUAGCGGCGGACGGGUGAGUAACACGUGGAUAACCUACCUAUAAGACUGGGAUAACUUCGGGAAACCGGAGCUAAUACCGGAUAAUAUUUUCAACCGCAUGGUUCAAAAGUGAAAGACGGUCUUGCUGUCACUUAUAGAUGGAUCCGCGCUGCAUUAGCUAGUUGGUAAGGUAACGGCUUACCAAGGCAACGAUGCAUAGCCGACCUGAGAGGGGGAUCGGCCACACUGGAACGGAGACACGGUCCAGACUCCUACGGGAGGCAGCAGUAGGGAAUCUUCCGCAAUGGGCGAAAGCCUGACGGAGCAACGCGGCGUGAGUGAUGAAGGUCUGCGGAUCGUAAAACUCUGUGAUUAGGGAAGAACAUAUGUGUAAGUAACUGUGCACAUCUUGACGGUACCUAAUCAGAAAGCCACGGCUAACUACGU
rnacentral:rRNA from 1 species